rnacentral:rRNA from 1 species
CUGGCGGCGUGCCUAAUACAUGCAAGUCGAACGAACGGAUAAAGAGCUUGCUCUUUUGAAGUUAGUGGCGGACGGGUGAGUAACACGCGGGUAACCCGCCUCACAGCUGGGGAUAACAUCGAGAAAUCGAUGCUAAUACCGAAUGUGCUGAACAUCAUAAGAUGUUCAAGUGAAAGACGGUUUCGGCUGUCACUGUGAGAUGGACCCGCGCUGGAUUAGCUAGUUGGUAAGGUAAUGGCUUACCAAGGCGACGAUCCAUAGCCGACCUGAGAGGGUGAUCGGCCACAUUGGGACUGAGACACGGCCCAAACUCCUACGGGAGACAGCAGUAGGGAAUCUUCGGCAAUGGACGAAAGUCUGACCGAGCAACGCCGCGUGAGCGAAGAAGGCCUUCGGGUCGUAAAGCUCUGUUGUUAGAGAAGAACAUGGGUGAGAGUAACUGUUCACCCCUUGACGGUAUCUAACCAGAAAGCCACGGCUAACUACGUG